rnacentral:rRNA from 1 species
UACGAAGGGGGCUAGCGUUGCUCGGAAUGACUGGGCGUAAAGGGCGCGUAGGCGGCAUGUUCAGUUAGGCGUGAAAUUCCUGGGCUCAACCUGGGGACUGCGUUUAAUACAGGCAGGCUAGAGUGUGAAAGAGGGUCGUGGAAUUUCCAGUGUAGAGGUGAAAUUCGUAGAUAUUGGAAAGAACACCGGUGGCGAAGGCGGCGACCUGGUUCACAACUGACGCUGAGGCGCGAAAGCGUGGGGAGCAAACAGG